AUCGUCGGUUGAUUUGCCGUUCUUUUUUGCUUUUUUUCAUUGCAAAUUGAUACUGCAUAAGUAAAGUUAUUUGAUUGUUCUGUUCUUGUGUUUAAUUCAAGUGUUGUAAUUUGUUUAUUUUUUUUUUAUGAUUUCGAGUCUUAAAUUAGGGUUUUUUGAUAUUUUCAGUUUGAGCAAUUUGCUAUUUUGGUUAUUUUUGGUGAGAUUUUGUUGCGAUUUUCAAGUCUAAGGUAGAGAAUUGUAUUUACAUUUUAUUGUCAGUUUUCUGUAACUAGGUUUUCGGUUGAAAUAAUAGAAAUCAAUCUGAUUUUUGUUGGAUUUGUUCGACUUAGUUUUGUUCAUUUAGUUGGUGUUUUGAUAUGAAUUGAUUUUAGGGAAAGUUCUACCUAUGUUGUUACUCUGUACAUAUUAAAGUAUGCAUAUACAACUUUCUAAUGAGAUUUCACAUAGCAUUGUAAGUUCUAACUCAUGGCAAGUUUAAUCACUAGAAUGAAGUCUCCAUUAAUGGGUAGUCCUGUUCCGGCAGAAAUGGAAGACCUGGUUGUGCUUACAGAAACUUGAGAUGAAUGCAGCCUCUGAUGAAGCUGUCUAGCCUUCUUGCGAUUGUUUGUCCAAGAUAGAGGAUAUAAUUUCAACUUAUUGUACUAUGUUUUUGGUUGAAACUAUAGGAAUCAAUAUUUUUUUUUUUUUUGGUAUUUUCUCAAUUUAUAGUUUUAUGGUAUGUAUUUACUUAUAAUAUUAGAACCUUUACUUUGCAUUAUGUAUGUGUGUAUUGGUAUUUGGUAAUGUGGGAGCGGAGUGAAGGUUUAGCGUAUAAUUUUGGAAAAAGUGGUUACAUAGCUGUAAUAUGUUGGUUUAUAGCUCUGAUGUGCUUAUUAUAGGACUAGCUUGUUUCUGAUAUGAUUUGUUAUUUUCAAAAAUUUGGUAUAUGACUAGCUUUUUCUUGUAUGAUUUUGGCCAUUGUUGUCUCUUUAUAGAUAACUAUAUUCAAACAUUUGCUAUAUGACAAGCUCUUAGUGUUGUGGGAAUAUGGUGGAGCAUUUUGUUGUGUUGUAUUGAUAUAUGUCGUAUCUAUAUUGCACACAGGUUUGGUUUGUAUAUGGAUUACAACACUUCAGUCGAUCCUUAAUUUCUCAAAGUCAAUGCAGUUAAUUUUGUUGCUCUAUUGUAGUUUCCUAGUUUAUAUGGUCAUGGUUUUAAUGGGUUUAGAUUUGUUGAUCAGUUAGUCAACUCUUGUACAUGCCAAUUCUUGCUCAUUGUUCACGAGUCCCUCCUUCACUUUGAGUAUGUCUUAAAGAGAGGCAUGGCAAAAUCAAGUGUACCUGACAACGGAUUAUCUUGAGCGGCUUUGAUAUAUUUUUCAUAGUUGUUUGGGGACCUUGAUGUCUCGAAAGAAGAGAUGAGUAUUAUAUACCAAAUUACUGAAAAUCAAGCAAAAGUCUCAGGAACUAAUACAUGGAAAGCGAUAGUGGCGUCACAAUGCACCUGGUUGCAAGAGAAUGCAAGCAUCAGAUGUGCCCAAUUUAUAGGACAUUGGCUACAAUUGAAGAGAAACCUGAGCACAGCUAGCAGGUAAAGGAAACACGUUAAUGUUUCUUAGAUUAGCUUUAUUUAGUACCGUAAUAAUAAUAAGUAAACGAUAGUGAUGCUAUUAAACAAUUCUAACCCACUUGACAAGAGAAGGAACUUAAGUACUACAAUCUGCUAUCAAACUAAUAAAAUAAAAUCAAAAUAAAUUCAUCAAUGGAAUAAAAACCUACAACAACUUUUAACAUGAAACAAUUACUUUAAAAUGAAAUUGGUUUACUUUAACUUAGUUUGUAUCUACUUUUGACCACCAUCAACAAAUUAAACAUCUAUAUAGUUUCUCAUAGGAAUUUCAUCAAACAGUUGAUAUGCAAACUAAUAAAUUUAAAUGCAAGGGUUUUCAGAUCAAGGUGUUUAGGAACUUUAACAACAAAAUCGAUUGCUAUAAUCAGUCGUAACCUCAUAAUUAUGAAAUAAAAGUUCAAAUUUCACAAUAAAAAACCCUAAAUUGAUGAUACUAGCAAUAAAAUUAAAGAUAAUCCAAUGAUAAUGAAAUUGAAUUUCGUUAAUUUAAAGAAGAUAAAAAAAACAUAUUACGCCAGAAGCUGCUUCAAUGGAGUGUAAAAGGCUCGAAAAUCACUUCAAAGGAGUAGAGAAAGCUUGAAAAUUGCUUCAAUGGAUAUUUGGAGCACUAGCUUCAAUGGAGGACAGAGUACCAGUCGCGUGAUUCUAAAAACUAAAAUAAUCUGAUCCGCCCGUUUUUUUUAUUUCUAUGGCUGUGAUGAGUUCCUAGUUCCUAUUAUUCACCCAGUUCUCAAUAUAACUU